rnacentral:rRNA from 1 species
AUUGAACGCUGGCGGCAUGCCUUACACAUGCAAGUCGAACGGCAGCACGGUUGCUUGCACCUGUUGGCGAGUGGCGAACGGGUGAGUAAUAGAUCUGAACAUGUCCUUUAGUGUGGGAUAGCGCUGCGAAAGCCGGAUUAAUACCGCAUACGAUCUACGCAUGAGAGCGGGAGACCUUCAGCCCCCGCGCUAUCGGGUUGGCCGAUGCCUGUUUAGGUAGUUGGUGGGGUAAAGGUCUACCAAGGCGACGAUCAGGAGCUGGUCUGAGAGGAUGACCAGCCCAACUGGAACUUGAAAAAGGUCCCGACUCCUACGGGAGGGAGCAGUGGGGAAUUUUGGACAAUGGGCGGAAGCCUGGUCCAGCCAUACCGGGGGGGUGAAGAAGGCCUUCGGGUUGGAAAGCCCUUUUGUUGGGAAAGAAAAGCAGUGGCCUAAUACCGCGCGGGGCUGACGGGACCCGAAGAAUAAGCACCGGCUAACUUCGUG